rnacentral:lncRNA from 10 species
GGAAGCGGCAGAAAUAGCAGCCACCGCGGCCCGCGCCGCCCGGCCCCUCCCCCCAGCCCGUUGCCACGGAGACCGGGCCAGAGCGAGGCUGCGCGGGCGGCCGCGGCCGCCUGCGCCCCAACCCGCGCAUGCGCAGCGGGGCCUGGCCCACGAGGGCGUCGCGGGUGUGUCCCGUCGCCGCGCCGGGGCCACCUGGACCCCCAGACCUGCCCCUGCCGCCCGCUUAGGUGGUGGUUCGGGGGCCGGGGGAAGGAAAAGCCAAAUCGUUCCUUGUUUGCCUUUGGAAAGCCGCCCUGCCAUUGUUCCGGGCGGAUUCCUUGGUUUCCAGGCGCUGUAGGCCAGGAGAGGAGGGGGCAGGAACCCCGGCCCAGCGGUCCCAGACGUUUUCGAAGCGACAGACCCUGGGCCCAGCGCGGGGACGCGGAGGGGACACGGGCUAGCAGCCCUGCCCUCCGGAGCUCAGGCCCAGUCCGGGCUUCCCAGGCCCCGGGGCUGCCCUCCCGGAGCCCGACCUCCCCUGGGGGUGGGGGUGCUGCCCCGGGGCCCCCUUCCUGGGUUUCCUGGUCCUUUUGUUCACGUAUCCCCCUCCCCGGAUUGAACCAGCAAAGAGCACAAAGCAGAAAAUACAUCCUUGCCGCCCGCAGGCUCCCUCAUCCCGCAGAAAACUCUGAAACAGUCCACACCCGUCCCAAAGUUGAGAGAAACCUGGACGUUUCAUAAACAAAACCCGCCCUCCAGCAGCGUGUUUAUGUGGAGGCGGCCUCGCGUGUCUGAGGCUGGGGUGUGUGUGCUCGUGUGUGUGUGUACGUGCGCCGGGGACACGCGAUCAUCUCUCAGAUGUGAGAAAGGAACCCCGCCCUGCAGGGGAAACUUGUCUGGUGUCCAGAAGACUUAGGAUCCACGGUGGAGGUCUGGGUGCCAUAUUGCCGUCUCUCCUUGAAGGAGAAGAUGAACACAUAGGGAGAAGGCGCCUGGGAGCUGUCGCUACAGUCUAGAGAAGCCCCACCUUGGCCCAGCAGUAGCCUGUGCUGAGAACCGGGAUUCCAGGACCAGACAGUCCUGGCGGUGGAUCCCGGCUCUGCCGAAGCCACAGCUUGUGUAUCUGGACAACAGGGAUAGCGCAGUGCCCGUGUCACAGGUGGUGAUGGCUCCUGGAGGUGGUGCACACAAGCUCGUGGCAUGGCAUCUGGUGCACAGUAGGUGCUAGAACAUAGAAGCUGUCAUUGGAGCUGGUGUGACCCAGGAUGGCCACCUUGGGUCUCUGACACUCUGGGGCUGGCUGUGUCCCAAGGCAGGUUCAUCUUUGGUCCAGCCUCCAGGAAAGGAGCACUGGACUGGGGUCAGGAGAAGCCGAGGCCAGGGGUUCUGCCACCAACCCAUUGUGUAAUCCGAGGCAAGUCCCUGAGCUGCUUUGAGCCUCAGUCUUCCCAUCUGGCAAAUGGGGAUAAUAAUCACAACCACCAUUGAUUGUGAACUUACUCAGUGCCAGGUACUCCACCGAGGUCUGUACAUUUCCUUAUCUAAUUCUGCCCUCAAAACAACCAAGUGAGGUAAAGACCACGAUGAUCCCACUUUCACAGAUGAAGGGGCAGAGCCUCAGAGAGGUGAAGUCACUUGCUGGGGACACAGCUGGAAGAUGGUGCAGUCGCUGUCACACACCCCUGAGAGCGAGUGUCCAGCUGCUGCUCCUGUCUCUGUUGUUCCCCUGCCCUUCCUGCUCACCCCCUGUACUUUUCGGUGGCUCCGGCCACAGCCCUCCCUUUGUAUUUGAACCCUUGGAUCCAGCCAUUCUGGAAUCUUCUGAGUCUGGUGCAGAUCCAGCCCCCUCAGUGGGAGACAUCCUCAGGGGUAGAUGGUGGCUUGAAGAAAGCCAGGUGGGCCCCACAUGGUCCCCACAGUCAACCCGGCGGCUCACAGCUGAUCGGCCAUCCACCGUGUCUCCCCCUGCCAUUUACACCGAAGGGUUGGGGUUCCUAACACACCCGGGUGGACGCGUGGCCUCCAGAUGGUGCAGUUAAUCCCGCUGGAAGCCGUAAAUCAGCGAGAUUGUCCCAGCUUCCCCUCCCCUCCUCCGUGCUGUCACCUCCAGAAGCUGGUGGGAGAAGCACCCCUCCAGCCCCGCCCUCCCGCCCCGGCCUUUGUUCCUGCUCAGUAGCCGGCAGGACGUGGCCCAGUCACGGUCUCCACGGCCCACGUUUGAAUCUCAGCCCUGUCACUGCCUGGCACGGUGGCUUUGGCCAAGCACUUCAUCUCCUGUUAUCCUCAGUUUCCUCAUCCAUGAAAUAGGGUGGGUCACAGCACCUGCCUGGUCCUAAAGAUGGGGGCUGCUGUGUGUGAGCGCUCCACCCUGGACCUGGCUCCCGGGGGGUCCUCGGAUAUGCUGCUGGUUAUAACAAGUUCUUACUCUGGGCUAGGUGUUGUAAUGCUUUAGCUCAGUGAAUCCUCAAACAAGCACAUUAUGACCCUUUUAUAGGUGGGGAAGCUCCCACUCCGAGAAGGGAAGUAAGUUGCCCAAGGCCACACAGCCAAUUAGCAGAACUGGGAUUAAAUCAGGCAGGCCUGUGCAGCUCUAAAGACCUCGCUGUAACCCUAGGUUCCUGGCCCUCCCUACUGAGGCCCUCUGAGGCUCUCUACCAAACCAGCAUCUGCAGUGACAGCAUCGUUAGCCCUGCCUGGAGCCGUUGGGUUAAUAGGUCCUUAAUAAAGCCAGCAGAGGCGUCUGCAGCUUCGCAGGGCAGGGGCCGAGGGGCCAGGUGCAGCAGAUGUGUCCUAAUGAAAAUAUCGGGGGGGGGGGAGGGGGAGGGGACCAUGGGGUGAGCCGCCUGCUCACGUCUCCAGCUUCCUGACCUCUGUGGCUGAGUCACUGGAGGCCUCCAGGUGCAGGGGACAAUCAAUUCCAUCACUCAUUCCAUCUAUGCUGGCUUGCUUCCUUUCAUCCAUUCACCCAUCAUCCAUCCAUCCAUCCUUCCAUUCCAUCCAUCCUCUCCCAGUGACUCAUCCUCCCUCCCUGGCUUCCAUGCAUCCAUCCAUCCAUGAAUCCACUCACCCAUUCCCUCCUUCCCUUCCUCCUUUCCUUCUCUCCUUCCUUCUGCCCAUCUGUCCACCCAGUGUUUACUGAGCACCCGUCUUGAGCCAAGCCUUAUGUGACGUGCCCAGGUUCCUCCCUCUGAGGGACUCACAUUCUCAAAAGGAUGCAAAACAACUAAGCCCAAGUGCACAGGGCACUAGGAGAGGAGAGGGCGUCUCGGGGGCUCUGACACUGGGCUCUGCACACCUUCCUCAGCCAAGCUCGCCAGGUGACCUUGGGCAGAUCACACUCCCUGGAGGCCACUCUCUUCUACCUGUUCAAAAAAGGGUGUCCUCGUCCAUUCGGCUGCUAUGACCUUAGACUGGGUUAUUUAUAAACAAGUUUAUAGUUCACAUUUCUGGAGGUUGAGAAGUCCAAGAUCAAGGUGCCUGCAGAUUUGGUGUCUGAUGAGGGCCCUUUCCUCACAGAUGGUGCCUUAUAGCCUUGUCCUCACAUGGUGGAAGGGGCGAGCAGGCUCCCCAGGCCUCUUGCCUAAAAGCAUAGAUACCAUUCAUGAGGAUGGAGCCCUCAUUACCUAAUCACCUCCCAGAAACCUCAUCUCUUAAUACACAUUGCAGAUAAUGGUGUUGUUUGUUUUUGUUUGUUUGUUUUUGAGACAGGGUCUCCCUCUGUCACCCAGGCUGGAAUGCAGUGGUGUGAUCUUGCCUCACUACAGCCUCCGCCUCCCGGGUUCAAGCAAUGCUCCCACCUCAGCCUCC